AGAGGAGCUUGCUCCUUGGGUGGCGAGUGGCGGACGGGUGAGGAAUACAUCGGAAUCUACUCUGUCGUGGGGGAUAACGUAGGGAAACUUACGCUAAUACCGCAUACGACCUACGGGUGAAAGCAGGGGAUCUUCGGACCUUGCGCGAUUGAAUGAGCCGAUGUCGGAUUAGCUAGUUGGCGGGGUAAAGGCCCACCAAGGCGACGAUCCGUAGCUGGUCUGAGAGGAUGAUCAGCCACACUGGAACUGAGACACGGUCCAGACUCCUACGGGAGGCAGCAGUGGGGAAUAUUGGACAAUGGGCGCAAGCCUGAUCCAGCCAUACCGCGUGGGUGAAGAAGGCCUUCGGGUUGUAAAGCCCUUUUGUUGGGAAAGAAAUCCAGCUGGCUAAUACCCGGUUGGGAUGACGGUACCCAAAGAAUAAGCACCGGCUAACUUCGUGCCAGCAGCCGCGGUAAUACGAAGGGUGCAAGCGUUACUCGGAAUUACUGGGCGUAAAGCGUGCGUAGGUGGUCGUUUAAGUCCGUUGUGAAAGCCCUGGGCUCAACCUGGGAACUGCAGUGGAUACUGGGCGACUAGAGUGUGGUAGAGGGUAGCGGAAUUCCUGGUGUAGCAGUGAAAUGCGUAGAGAUCAGGAGGAACAUCCAUGGCGAAGGCAGCU
rnacentral:rRNA from 2 species